rnacentral:snRNA from 1 species
ACCCUACUGAUGCCCGCGUC